GACGAACGCUGGCGGCGUGCUUAACACAUGCAAGUCGAACGGAAAGGCCCUGCUUUUGUGGGGUGCUCGAGUGGCGAACGGGUGAGUAACACGUGAGUAACCUGCCCUUGACUUUGGGAUAACUUCAGGAAACUGGGGCUAAUACCGGAUAGGAGCUCCUGCUGCAUGGUGGGGGUUGGAAAGUUUCGGCGGUUGGGGAUGGACUCGCGGCUUAUCAGCUUGUUGGUGGGGUAGUGGCUUACCAAGGCUUUGACGGGUAGCCGGCCUGAGAGGGUGACCGGCCACAUUGGGACUGAGAUACGGCCCAGACUCCUACGGGAGGCAGCAGUGGGGAAUAUUGCACAAUGGGCGGAAGCCUGAUGCAGCAACGCCGCGUGCGGGAUGACGGCCUUCGGGUCGUAAACCGCGUUCGCCUGUGACGAAGCGUGAGUGACGGUAAUGGGUAAAGAAGCACCGGCUAACUACGUG
rnacentral:rRNA from 1 species